ensembl:lncRNA
GCUCUCCAUGUUUAUCUAGAUCAAAAACACUGCUGGGUGGGUUUUUCCCCUUAUCUUAGGAUCUCCACUCUGUUGGUCUACAAGAUCCCAAUGGAAGAUGCUCUGCCUCUCUCCAAAGCCUUCUCCAUGCUAGAGGAAGCUAAACGAAGCUUUAACUUCGAGGAGUACAGCUUUUCUCUGAACACUUUGGAACAGGUUUUCCUAGAGCUUUGCAGGGAACAAGAGCGGGAUAAUUUUGAUACAGCCCUGGGCACAACCUUUGAGUGGAAGCAACUGCAGAGCAUGGGUCCCUAAGAGCUCAGUGGCCUGUUCCAGAGGCAGAUGUUUGCACAAGGGAGGGCUUGAAGCGAAGCAGCUGGGACACAGCAGCCCAUCUCCAAGUAAUGUCAUGCCUAGUCUGGUCCUUCAAGUGGAAGCCCUUUGGGGAAAGGAUACUGCAGUUCAUACAGGCCUCUGGAUCCAAACAAAACUCUGUGACUGACACCCAUAAGGGCCCUAUGUGGAAAUGGAAUGUUACUGUUCCCUGCUUUUGUUUUGUUUUUCAGAAAAAAGAUAUAUGCAAUACAUACCACUAGAAAAACAUAACCUAUAUGAUAUAUAGCUUUUUAUAUCUAUUGUACUAUGGAUAUAAAUUUGAGAAGCGAAACUUGUUCAGUAUUUACAAAUAUACCUAGUUUAACAGAAAGAUUGCAAGCAGCUGCAUCUCAACAUACCUAAGCUGUUCCUCCAUUCCCAUUUUUCAAACUAGGAGCUCAAAAUUAAGAGUUCAACAUAUAGAUAAAAACCACUAUGUAUGUCUACAUGUAUAAUAGAUGUUUUAAAAAGUUCUUUAUCGUCUGCACUGAAAAUAGUCUUUCUCUACAAUUGGUAUUAGUCAGAUGAGACCGCACAAAAAUGUGCCAUGCUGUUUACUAGAGGCGGUACUGGGCUGCAUGCAGACACUCGGGUAGCUGAAGGCAGACGGCAGCCUGAGGCAGAGCAGCAAAUGGUUCGUUCUCACAAGUGAAGACAGUCUGGUUAUUUUGGUACCUGAAAUGGAAAAUCCCACAGGCACCAUUUCCCUUCCCUGGAAAUGGAAGGAAAAACAUUUGGUGACUUUUCACAAUACCCCAAUCAGCUGCAUUGUUCUAAUCUCUCUGAGAAGUGUCUGUCUCACUUUAUUCUCAGAAUGAUUGGUGAAUGUAGAAACCAAAUUACAGAGCACUGAGCUGUGUGCACUGUAUUAUCUCAUACAAUGGCUGUGAUCACAUGCAGUGCUAAGCCAUGCUGUGUAAAGCUUUAUAGGUUAAACCCAGCAUCUUGAAUUGGGCUUGGAAGCCCAACAGGCAGCCAAUGUAAGCAGGCCAGAACUGGGCUUAUAUGUUGGGACCUGCAGGUCCCAAUCUGGUUGCCACAUUCUGCACCAGAUGCAGCUUCUGAACUGUCUUCAAGGGCAGCCCCACAGAGAGUGCCUAUCAUUCAGUAUAGUGAUUACCAUAGUGUAGACUAUUGAAGCCAGGCAAUCCCUGUCUAGAUAGGAGCCUAGCUGGGCCACCAGCCAAGGCUGUUAGAGGGCACCCUGAGAAACUGAGGCCACCUGAGGCUCAAGUGACAAAGACAGAUCAAGGAGCACCCCCAAGCUACGAACCAGCUCCUGCUCUAAGCUGCUGCUUCGGAUCAGUCCUGGGCUGAAUGGGGGCGAAUAAACUGAAACUUAAUCUAGGUCAAUGGAAGCCUUGUUCAUGUGAAGUUUGUCUGGCAGAUGAACAGAGAUUCCAACUAUUGGUGAGGGUUAUGCUUUCCUUUAAUGCUCAAACCCAUAGCUUGACAUACACUGGGAGCUGCUUUUUAAGAACUGUGCAAUCAUCGUAGACAGGACAGAUUUCACUAGCUUUGGGCUGGUUUGCCACCUGUGUCUUCUGGAGAAAUACAGCCAGGCCAAAGUAGCUCAUACCUCCAUAACUUUCAGACUAAUUUUCCAUAUAGUGCUCAACAAAAGUAACUGAGACAUUGCUAUGUUUUAGCUAAGGAAUACAAAGAUUUGGCCAAUUCCCCCCACAAUUCUAAUAUAUAAUGGUGAAAGAAACAAAAUUUGUGUAAACUCUAAAUAUAUUUAUGUAUACAGUAUAUAUAUACACACAGACAGAGUAAGCUUUUCUGUAGCAACUUGCAACUUAGACUAUUCAGCCCAUUCAAUACAAAUGCUAUUUUUAGUAGCCUUAUACUACAUUAUAUAUAGACUCUUCAACAUUAUUGAAUUAAAAAACUGCAAUUUAGAAUGGUUUAUCAUGCACUGCUAGGCCAUUUUUGUCACUUGACUCAGGAAGAUGCCUCUUUCAAGUACCUCUUCCAAAUUAGGGAAACUCUGAUGGUGGCCAUCGUGCCUGUAACAUUACUGAUCAUGUGACUGAUGCAAGGAUUAAAUAAUUCAAAAGGAAGAGAUGUGAUGGGAACACAAAUGCACUGAUUGUUCAUUCUGUUAUACAACUGCUUAAAAAAAGUAUUGCAAUGGAAAAGUUGACAAGUAUCUCAAAAUGACCCAAGUGAAAUAGUGUAUAGUUUCAUAUUUGAAGGGGGAAAAUCAGAUCAGUUUGAGAAUUUGACUUACAGCAAAAUCUCAUAGUAAUGUUUAUCAAAAUUAUUUUUAAACAAGUUUUAAAAAGAAACAGAAUCUAAAUACUAAGCAUAUAAUUCAUGGCUCAUCAGAGGUUAAGAUAUAUCUGAGCUUUGAGUCACCUAGAUUACAACUGCUAAAAAUAAAGGAAGUUUAGAAAAUCACCUUCUCUUCUUAUUUACUUAUCUAACUUAUAAAAAGUGAGCAGAGGGAAAUUGUAACAAAUAUUCCUGAAACUGGCAAAGUUGCAAAAAAGACUGUUAGCAAAACUUUUUUCAAAAAGCUGCGUAAUAAAACAUUAUUAUAAUUAUAUUAAAUCAUUAUAUUGCAAUUAAAAUUCAUAAAAUGCACUACAUAGAAAAAAGGAUCCUUUCUAAAAGCAUAGAUUAGAUCUAGAGCCACAGUUCUGUAAACAGAACAGCCCCUUUCCCUUGAUUGCUUUGUAUGGCUAGUGAAAUACAUUACGAGCAUUUCUAUGAAGGCAAAGCAUUAAAAGCCCUCCUAAACAAUUCCAUCAUCCCAACAAAGCGAUCCAGAAAGAUUCAUCAUGAUUUUUCAUCAAAAGAGCAAAUCAUAGUUCAGUAACGAGUGUAUUCAAAACUAAAGACAUUUCAGAAUAUUUAUAGUAUUAAUAUGGCAAAGGUGAAUAUUCAAUUGCUUAAGAAUAUAUUUUAAAUUCAUAGUGCAUAUUGCAUACUUCAAAAUAAUGAAAAUAGUCCCCUAUUAAAUCCUGACAAAUCAAUCUUUUGAAUUUAUACUGCAGAAGAAAUCAGAAAACAACUUGUUCUCCUUUGGCUCUUUCCCAACUAAUCGUUCCAUUCAGUGUUCCGAAAUUGCUGUCUUCCUCCUCUUGCUCUUUUACAAGUUCCACAAAUACCUAAAACAAUUAAGACGUGCAUAAGUACAUUAAUUAGAGCAACAGUCCACCUGAAUUCUGCUCAGCCAUGGACAAAAUGGGGGCUCAAAUUAAGCACAGGGUUGAAAACAAGCACUGCAGAAUUAUGUCCGAUGGUGUUACAUAAUAGAUCUAUGCAGUUAGACUGCUGUGCAUGUUUACCAUGGGUGGAGGGCAUGGCCAUCAGUUCUUUAUAAGACCCUGUAUUAUGGUCACAAAAUAUUAUGAUGCAUGUAGCUAAUUUUUAAAAGCAAACAACUGUUUAUUGCAUAAAACCAAUAUACAUAAAUAAGAGUGAAGCCUGUGAGAAAAAUAUAAGAAACUUAGGUGAGGGGAACACGCUAUGCUUUAGAAGUUUGUCUCAUUACCUGUUCAAGUGUUGCUUGAGAGAAGCUGUACUCUUCAAUAUUGAAGGCAUGUUUUGCUGUUGAAAAUGUUAAAAAGAACUGCUUACUCCUUAGUGGUAGUUUGGCAGCAAAACAAAUUAAUAUAAACAUGCAUUUUGAAAUGACGUGCUAUCCCUCCAGUUGCCUCACAGAAACACUGUGAUGGGCAGUGUGGUGUUCUGACAUACACAUGCAAAGCUGUGGCAGGAGUGCACAAAUCCCUCCAUUUCUGAACAUUGCAAGGCCUGGGAAAGCCAAGGGGGUGUUGCAGAACCAUGUGCCACCCGCCGUGUAACACAUGGGGCUUUGUGGCUGAGACGUUCAUUUCUCGGGAUACAACGCUGGAAGUAUGCUUACUGCCAGCUUGACUGGAAAACGGUAAGCCCAACACCCAUCUGCCUUCCCAAGCUUUUUUAGCAGUUCUCACAGUCAAGUCUCAAUACUGAAAGCAUUAUGGUUUUAUUAGCUGUUUUUUAUUUUUAUUGCUAUUGUUUGAAACCUGUUACCAGCUCUGAGAUAUUUUAAAAAGAGGAUAUAAAGAAAAUCAAAUCAAUCAAUCAAGUUUGUGCUUUUUAAAACAUGGUUUAACAUGUCAAUGGCUAUAUGCUCAUGAGACAGGAUUAUCAUGUACCAGAAUGGCCUGAGAGAUUAUGAAACCUUGCAAGAAGCGAGAGUAUAAAUCUGGAUAAAAAGAUAGGGUGCCACGAAUACACUCCUAUAUUUUGUUUGGAUGUUUGGAUGUUCUGUGUCUUUAACUUCAUGAUAUUUCCCUCUUAGUAUGUAAUGCUGCCACUAUGAAUUUCAUUCCAAUCUUAUUAAUUCCUUCCACUGUAUUGUGCCCAAGCUAUAAGGCUCCACGGCUGGACUAUGAAACAGCCUAUGACUUUGGGUUAACAAUAAACAAAAUAAAACUUUAUUUGUAUAAGAAAUGAAGCUUAUGGGUGUCAAGAUGUUCUAUGAUUACUUUCUUAGUAAAUAAAAGAGUAUAUAUUAACUUCCGAGUGAGGUAUCACACUCUUUUCCUGCACAAACCCUCAUCACUCACAGAUCCUCCUUUUUCUCCUGAAUGUAUUUUGAGCGGUCCUUAUUUUAUUUAGCUCUGUUCAAUCUUUCCCUUCUGCACUCAGGUUUCUGUCAGCUUCUGUCUCUCACACCCUUAUUAUACUUUACAACAGUGACAAGUUUUGACUCUCCCUAGUCGCUAAUAUGUCCUCCAAGUAUUCUACUCCUUUCUCUUUCUUUUUGCCCCUCAAGUGCCAUGCACAGCACUCAAUGGGAUUCUACUGACUCUUCAGGUUCUACACACUCCUGACUGAUUUCAAUGGACUGU